UUUUGGUAAUGUCUCCGAGCUGGUAUAUCUAAGGCAGCGGCGCAAUCUGCUAGGAUGGCCAGCCGGAACGGUUUUCCGUUCCCGGGUGCGGGGAGAAAUCCCUGUGCCUUCCGCGAUUUGAAAAGGAGUGGUAAUGAUGAAAAA
rnacentral:ncRNA from 2 species